rnacentral:tRNA from 1 species
GGCUGUGGCUUAGUGGUAGAGUGCUUGCCUAGCAUGCAUGAGGCACUGGGUUCGAUCCUAGCACCA